rnacentral:lncRNA from 1 species
GGGAGCACAUGUAAACAAGCCUGCGUGGUGUAAUUGAUUUGUAAUCUAUCUUCACACUGGCUGCUGGUUUCACAGAUAGACAGAGAAGCAGCUGAUAGAAACACAAGAACACGAAGAAUCAGAAGUUCCAGAGCCAAGAAAGUUUACAACAAAAGAAUGAGCUGAAGCCGUAGGUCUCAUUGCAGCAGGAUUUGCUAAGUGCCAGGGUCGAGAUGCUAACUAACAUUGAACGGUUUGCAAAGGUUUGCGUUCCAUUCUGUUUCUGAGGACGUCAGCUGCUACCAGGCCAUGCAUAACCGAAAAAAAAAAAAGGCUGAGCAAACAGCCCUAGGUACCUUUUGCAGGAAACUGCACUUCAGGGGCGAGCACCUCUCCUUCAGCAACAGCACCGAAUCCUGAUUCUCCGAUUCUCCAGCUCCCACUCCACGGCCUGCAGCACCAACCCUGCCAUCACCUUCUGAUUAAUGUCAGCUGCCUUCUUGCCUCAAAAAUUCCCCUUCCAGGAAGCCAGAUAUUGAUGCAACAUUGGGCAAAAUGCUGCAGAAGUGAGCGCCCCAGUGGCGGAUCCUCGUCCAACUUCCCCCUGCCCCGAGAGGCAGACGAUGGUGGGACACACGCAGGGGACCCACACUGCCAGCUGCUGCGUCUGGGCAAUGCCAUUUCUGUCAUCAGCCCUUUCUCCAUUAAAACACGAGCAAUGCCCGCAAGGAGCUCCGUCCCUCUGCUCAGAGAAGGUGUCCCCAACCCUGCAGACGGGCUUGGCCUUGGAUGUGUGCAGGAGAGGGCGUGGAAGGAAGGGGCUGACCAUGGCGGGUCAUGGUCAUGGUUGAAAACCAACAGCCAGGACGCUGGGAGAGCCAUCAGCUCAGUGUCCUCGGGGAGUGGGCAUGGGGAAUGACUGUCUUACCUGGGGCAGGUAAGAUAGGUAAAUGGAG